GAUCAUGGCUCAGGAUGAACGCUAGCGAUAGGCUUAACACAUGCAAGUCGAGGGGCAGCAUUAUUUUAGCUUGCUAAGAUAGAUGGCGACCGGCGCACGGGUGCGUAACGCGUAUGCAACCUGCCUGUAAUUAGGGAAUAACCCGGUGAAAGUCGGACUAAUACCCUAUAUUCAUCGUUAACCGCAUGGUUGAUGAUGGAAAGAUUUAUUGAUUACAGAUGGGCAUGCG
rnacentral:rRNA from 1 species